CCUACGGGAGGCAGCAGUGGGGAAUCUUGCGCAAUGGGCGAAAGCCUGACGCAGCCAUGCCGCGUGUAUGAUGAAGGCCUUAGGAUUGUAAAAUACUUUCGACCGGUAGAAGAUAAUGACUGUAGCCGGAGAAGAAGCCCCGGCUAACUUCGUGCCAGCAGCCGCGGUAAUACGAAGGGGGCUAGCGUUGCUCGGAAUUACUGGGCGUAAAGGGAGCGUAGGCGGACAUUUAAGUCAGAGGUGAAAUCCCGGAGCUUAACUUCGGAACUGCCUUUGAUACUGGGUGUCUUGAGUGUGAGAGAGGUAUGUGGAACUCCGAGUGUAGAGGUGAAAUUCGUAGAUAUUCGGAAGAACACCAGUGGCGAAGGCGACAUACUGGCUCAUUACUGACGCUGAGGCUCGAAAGCGUGGGGAGCAAACAGGAUUAGAUACCCUGGUAGUCCACGCCGUAAACGAUGAUUGCUAGUUGUCGGGAAGCUUGCUUCUCGGUGACGCAGCUACGCAUUAAGACAACUACCGCCGUCGGGGAGGUACGGGUCGGCGAAGAAUUAAAACUUAACAAAUAGAAGUUAGACGGCGNGAGACGUGCCGACGGACGACGACGAGGGAGGUUAGG
rnacentral:rRNA from 1 species